AAUUGGCUUGAGUUUAUACAAAUAAAAACUAAAUUCUCUUCAGUCUAGUCAGUUGCAACAACAAUUAAAGCAGCAGGAAACAGCCAAGUACACAUGCAAGUGAUUGUUAUGAGGAUUGCAAAACUUUUAAAUAUCAGAAACUAAAGAAAGCAUUGAUAAUCAGCAGAUAUCAAAAAAGUGCAAAAGUACUGAUUAUACAACUCUUUUAAAGUUGAGGAAGAAUUUUAUGUUAAUGUUAAUGCAAAAGGUACGAAUAUUGACAGUUAAACCAUCACCACUUCCACAGCCACCUUGUCUCAAGCAUUAAAUCGCAUUCUAAGAUAUCUUUAUUCAAAUUAAGUGUGACUACUUUACCAAAAGACUCUAGAAUGGACCAAGACUUUUUAAAAUCAAAUUUACAAUGUUUUAGUAAAUUUUUAUUUAAAAUAACUUUGUAUACAUAAUAUAUCUAUAUAGUUAUUUACAUAAUAGCUUACCCAUCAGUACUUUCAAAGUCUCCUUUUCUGUAAGCCCAAAAAUUGAGUUCUAUAAUACCAUUAUCCACAUAACUACUAUAUCAAAGUACAAUCUAAUGGAUUGAUCAAAAAAGAGAUUGUAUGACUUCGGUAUCCGCAAUACGGUAUCGUGCAUUGAUUUCCAUCUUAGAAUGGCUCCCUUCCGUAUAGUUUGAAAUAGAAAAGGGCAUACCCUUUUUUCUAAUUCUUAAGACGAAGAGGCUUAAUCGGUUCAAACAAAGAUGACGAUGAUCAUUAUGGAGCCGAUCAUGAUGACGAAUACGAUAAUGCAUAUAUUAAUAAAUAAAAUGAUUUUACUUGUAUCUUAGACUUAAAAAAUUAUUUGUUUAA